GACGAACGCUGGCGGCGUGCUUAACACAUGCAAGUCGAGCGGUAAGGCACCUUCGGGUGUACACGAGCGGCGAACGGGUGAGUAACACGUGAGUAACCUGCCCUUCUCAUCGGAAUAAGCGUUGGAAACGACGUCUAAUGCCGAAUACGACUUCGGACCGCAUGGUCUGAAGUGGAAAGCUCCGGCGGAGAAGGAUGGACUCGCGGCCUAUCAGCUUGUUGGUGAGGUAACGGCUCACCAAGGCGACGACGGGUAGCCGGCCUGAGAGGGUGACCGGCCACACUGGGACUGAGACACGGCCCAGACUCCUACGGGAGGCAGCAGUGGGGAAUAUUGGACAAUGGGCGCAAGCCUGAUCCAGCAACGCCGCGUGAGGGAUGACGGCCUUCGGGUUGUAAACCUCUUUCAGCAGGGACGAAGCGAAAGUGACGGUACCUGCAGAAGAAGGACCGGCCAACUACGUGCCAGCCGCCGCCGUAACAC
rnacentral:rRNA from 1 species